GAUGAACGCUAGCGGGAGGCCUAACACAUGCAAGCCGAGCGGGAUUUGUUGGUUAGCUUGCUAACUAACAAUGAGAGCGGCGUACGGGUGCGUAGCACGUGUGCAACCUGCCUUUAUCUGGGGGAUAGCCUUUCGAAAGGAAGAUUAAUACCCCAUAACAUAUUGAUUGGCAUCAGUUAAUAUUGAAAGCUCCGGCGGUUAGAGAUGGGCACGCGUAAGAUUAGCUAGUUGGUGAGGUAACGGCUCACCAAGGCUGCGAUCUUUAGGGGGCCUGAGAGGGUGAUCCCCCACACUGGUACUGAGACACGGACCAGACUCCUACGGGAGGCAGCAGUGAGGAAUAUUGGACAAUGGGUGAGAGCCUGAUCCAGCCAUCCCGCGUGAAGGACUAAGGACCUAUGGUUUGUAAACUUCUUUUAUACAGGGAUAAACCUACUCUCGUGAGGGUAGCUGAAGGUACUGUAUGAAUAAGCACCGGCUAACUCCGUG
rnacentral:rRNA from 1 species